GAUGAAGAACGUAGCGAAAUGCGAUACGUAAUGUGAAUUGCAAAUUCAGUGAAUCAUCGAGUCUUUGAACGCACAUUGCGCCCCCUGGUAUUCCGGGGGGCAUGCCUGUCCGAGCGUCAUUGCUGCCCUCAAGCACGGCUUGUGUGUUGGGCCCUGUCCUCCGAUCCCGGGGGACGGGCCCGAAAGGCAGCGGCGGCACCGCGUCCGGUCCUCGAGCGUAUGGGGCUUUGUCACCCGCUCUGUAGGCCCGGCCGGCGCUUGCCGAUCAACCCAAAUUUUUUAUCCAGGUUGACCUCGGAUCAGGUAGGGAUACCCGCUGAACUUAAGCAUAUCAAUAAGCGGAGGA
rnacentral:misc_RNA from 1 species